CCUCCUUCUCCCUCAGCCAUUUUAGGGAAUUAUUUCCUUUCCCUGCAGUCUCCAUUUUAUGUUCCUGACGCAGAAAAUAAAAAAGGGUGCUAUUUUUACCCACUUCAGAUGCACUCAGGCUGCCCUCUGGGAUGGAUGAUGAUUCUGGCCUUGCUGAUUCAUCCAGCCCUGGCUGAGGAUCUUUCUGGAAGCAUCUCCCGUGCCCAGUUUUUUUUCCUCCAGUGUCUGCUGAGAACUUGAAGAAAAUCUUACACGGGGUGAGAGGACGGAUCACAGUGGAAUAUUCUGAACUUCCCAGCCGACACAGAUAAGAUAAGAGUGACAAAUCUGUGGGGGGAAAAAUUGACAAUAUCCUUUUGCUUUUAUGGAGAAGAAGGUUUCAAAGAGGAUGUGAGCUGUGGCAAAAGGAGGCCGUUUCCCCUUGCCCACCCUUCCCACAGGAGGUGAAAAUGUCACCCCAGCACUGAGCAGAUUAGGCUGGGCUCACCUUUGAGCUGCUCUGGGCAGCUGUGCCAGGCCCUCACCGCCCUCCCAGGCAAGAAUUUCUUCCCAAAAUCCACUUCCAGCUGCCCUGCCACGACCAGGGGCAUCUUUAACCAGAGCAGAUUUCUCAGAGCCCCAUUGCUCAGCCCUCCCAUGCUCCUCACUCCCCCUCCCAAAGAGGACUGAGCCCCUUUUGU